CCCGUCCUUCGGAACAGUCCCACGGGGGGACGCCCCGCUAGGGUUUUUAUAACUUUUACUGUUUUACAAUUUUGCUGCUACGCAGUAACAGCACAUAGCUUCUGCUGUUCCACUGUUCUUACUAUUAACUGAGCACAAAAUCAUUUAACUGGAUCAGUUUGAUUUUUUAUAGAAUCUGCAAGAAACACGGUUUUGUGUCGCAUUGUAAAAGUACCUCCGCAUACGACUUGUGUUGGUUAUCUGCCCAGCUGGAUUUGAGUUCUGAGACAGAACCAUGAGAGCAUAACCUUUCGCCUUCUCACGGGAAUCUGCCAUUGUGAUAUAGUCUGACUAAAAAACGAGAAACGAUCAGUGAUGGGUGAUCGUGAGGUGCCUGUUGCAUGGACGGAUGAAUGUUUUGAUGAUGUGUCGGAAGAAGAGUAUCCUGUCGCUGGGCCAGAGCGGAUCUUCGUUGUGAGAGUGCAAAGGAACCCCGCAGCCCCACGGCUCCCACCGCCACGACCACAGAGGGUUAGAGCACCGAUGAUCCACCAUCUGCCCAUCCCCAGUGCAGUAGCAACACAGUCGAUACAUGUCGCUGAAGAAACCAGAAUGCAUGUGCAGAAUCUUCCAACAAGAGCAUCCGAGUCCGCUACUCGAGAUGAUUUCAUCAGUGCAAAAGAUUCGGGCAAAUGAUUUCUGUGGACGCCAGUGGAAUAGGAGCAGAGUGGUGCGGCAGCGGUGCAUUUACACGUCCUGAAGACACAGAGAGCGCCGCGGAAAAGGGAUGCUGUUCGAAAAAUUUGUGUACCGUGAUUUCGUUCCCUUAAAUGCAGCGGAGAUGUGGUCAUGAAUUUCCGAAGUGUUUUCUGGAAGCGGCAUUGUUCAAGAACGGAAUGCUUCCAUGAGUUUACCAAUGCCUGAGCCCGCGAACAGUUUGCGCCCCUGUGCUUAUGCUUACGGUUUACACCAGAAUCCCCGGUACUGAUGGUUUUUAUUGAGUGAGGUUGAUCGGAUCAGUUUGGACUUUGGAUGUACUCUUUGUUUUAAAGGUGCCCGCUGUGUUAACGAAAAAAAGGGCAGUUUCUCUGGAUUGGUGGAUCUCAUCCACCUGCUGUUGUAAAUCUCUUUCUGUGUAAACACUGGUGACUGCGAUAAUACCUGGACGACUGUACAUGAACAAGAAUUUACGCUGAACCCUGGAAAUGUUUCAGCAUAAAAU